rnacentral:rRNA from 1 species
GAUGAACGCUGGCGGCAUGCCUAACACAUGCAAGUCGAUCGGUAAGGCUCUUCGGAGUACACGAGAGGCGGACGGCUGAGUAACGCGUAGGAACACACCCUGCAGUGAGGGAUAAGACACCGAAAGGUGUUCUAAUACCGCAUACGGUCUUCGGAUUAAAGCAUUUAUGCGCUGAAGGAGUGGCCUGCGUCAUAUUAGAUAGUUGGUGAGGUAAUGGCUCACCAAGUCGAUGAUGUGUAGCUGGUCUGAGAGGAUGAUCAGCCAGACUGGAACUGAGACACGGUCCAGACUCCUACGGGAGGCAGCAGUGAGGAAUAUUUCACAAUGAGCGAAAGCUUGAUGGAGCAAUGCCGCGUGCAGGAUGAAGGCCCUCGGGUUGUAAACUGCUUUUAUAAGAGAAGAUUAUGACGGUAACUUAUGAAUAAGGGGCGGCUAACUACGUG